ensembl:lncRNA
CACCCCACCUUUAUUUUCUCAUGGGGGGGGGUCCGCCCCUUCUCCUUUAUGCACCCCCCCCCUCCCCUUUUUUGGGGCACUGAACGCCCUGUUUUGGGGCUCGGCCCCCUUUUCCUUUUUAUUUUUGGGGGGGGGGGGGAGCGGCGCUUCAUUUUGGGGAUCCACCCCUUCAUUUGGGGGGGUCACCCCCUCACUUUGGGGGUCACACCCCUCAUUUUGGGUAGGAUCACCCCUUCAUUUGGGGGGGGUCACCCCUCAUUUUGGGGGGGGUCACACCCCUCAUUUUGGGGAUCCACCCCUUCAUUUGGGGGGGGUCACACCCCUCAUUUUGGGGGGGUCACCCCUCAUUUUGGGGGGGUCACCCCUCAUUUUGGGGGGGUCACACCUCUCAUUUUGGGUAGGGUCACCCCUUCAUUUUGGGGGGGUCACACCCCUCAUUUUGGGGAUCCACCCCUUCAUUUGGGGGGGGUCACACCCCUCGUUUUGGGGGUCACACCCCUCAUUUUGGGGGGGGUCACCCCCCUCACUUUGGGGGUCACCCCCCUCAUUUUGGGGGGGGUCACCCCUUCAUUUGGGGGGGGUCACACCCCUCAUUUUGGGUAGGGUCACCCCUUCAUUUGGGGGGGUCACACCCCUCAUUUUGGGUAGGGUCACCCCUCAUUUUGGGGGGGGUCACCCCUCAUUUUGGGGGUCACACCCCUCAUUUUGGGGAGGGUCACCCCUCAUUUUGGGGGGCAGCAUCCCUUUUAUUUCCGGGGGGGGGCACCCCUCAAUUUGGGAAGGCUCCCUUUUGGGGGGGGGGACCCCUCUUUUAGGGUGAGAUGUCCCCUUUAGGGUGGGUACCCCCUUUAGUGGGGGGGGGGGGGGGGGGGGCAGAGACCCCUUUUUGGUGGGACCCCUCCCCUCCUUUAUGGGGCUCGGGGGGGGUUUUUUAUUG